UUUUGUUUUUGUUUGCUAACACCACCUUGUAUAAAUCGCCUUGGAUGUGGAUUAACAAGAAAUAUCGAUACGUCGACAAGUGGUCGAUUAGAAUAAUGUCGAUGCAUCUAAGCAAAACAUCGAUGUUUUUUUGAAAUCCCUGACACCGGGCUCAAUUCAUCUUGCCGUCAUUCUCGCAGCAAACUCGAUUUUCGGCAACUGACAGGCAGGAAGCGUGGCGGAUUUAUUUUUCAAUAAUUUUUCAUAUUUUCACAUUAGUAAAAUUCCCAUUUGUUAUUUAUCUACAUCAACAUUUCAUUCGACCAUACGGCAAAUAAAACAAAAAAAUUCAAAUACAAUUCGAUCGACCGAAUUGGACGGUAAACAAAUUUUUUGUCGUGCAAAAUUUUUUGUAAGUCGCAGGACCGAAAGGGAAAUUUGUAUGAGUUCGGUUGGAAGUGAAUUAAGUAAUUCUAAUUCCCAUACAUUUUGGCAUCUGCCUGGCAAAUGCAGGUAAAUCGUUUUACGGUGUGUCGUUGGGUCUAUCUUGAACUACCUCAAGAGCAGAGUUGAAAUAAGGAUUAGUGCUGUGAAAAUUUUGUCGUGGAGUAUCCAAAACUAUCGGGGAAUAAAGGGGCUUCGCGGAGGGUGAAGCACGCCCAAAGGCGUAGUGAAAAUCGCCCUUUGCAAAACGAGCAAACGGUGAUUUUUAGUGAAGGAUUUACGCCCAGGGCUUAAGCAUCAACAUAUACUAGCGUCAGUUGUUAUUGUACCAGCAGCCGCAGCUGGAAAAACAACGCCCUAAAAACCAUCACAAAUAUCACCAGUUACACAAAAACCAUUGCCUAAAAUUGCUCCAACUCGUCAAAUCCCACAGAAGUUCCGGCCCCGUAAGAAGCCGGAAGGUGAGCCAAGGAGGAAAAAAAUGGAAAAGAAGUCACAUAAAGCAACACGUAAUGGCAAUAUAAUAGUAGCUGGUGCCAGUUCCGGCAUCUCAACCGGUGGCAGCGCAGUUGCACCCGUCACGACGCUUUCCAUACCCACCCGCACAACUGGCCAUAAGCAGCACACUCCCAGCGGUAGCGCAGUAGCCGCAACUGGCGCUGCUGGCGGUGGUGGUGUCAGUAGUAGUGGGAAACACCGCAGCAGCAACUCGGGUCAUCACUAUCACAGUCAUCACACACACCUUACUAGUCAUCCCCAACACCACCAGCACACCACACACACCAGCACAGCGAAUCAAACGCAGGAAGCAACGCAAGUGCAGCAUUCGACGCUACAUGCCCCGAAUCCCGCGAUAUUGCUAGCAGUCGGCAAAGCGGCUAACGAAGCCAGCCGGGGCACGAAAGUUACGGGUACACAAGUCACCAACGCUAUGGAACAUAUAGCGACAGCGCUAACAACAGUCAGUCCCAAGUUGGCAACGACGGCGGCGAUGCGCAACAAAAACGAAGAGGCUAUCAACGACUUACGUCAACGCAUUCCCGAAAUCGAAAAUAUUUUCGAUGUACACAGCCGUAUCGGCAAUGGCACCUUCAGUACGGUGCUGCUGGGAACUUUGAAGAAGGAACGCGGUUUGCCGGAGCAUAUGCGACGUAAAUUCGCAAUAAAACAUCACAUACCCACCAGUCAUCCGGAUAGGAUAAUGAAGGAGCUGCAGUGCAUGGCGAAAAUUGGCGGCACCGACAAUGUCGUCGGCAUCAACUGCUGCAUACGCUACAACGAAUCGGUGGCCUUCAUCAUGCCGUACAUGCAACACGAUCGUUUUCACGACUUCUUCAACAAAAUGGAGCUGUCCGAGUUGCAGCACUACAUGCGGAAUUUGCUGAUCGCCCUGCGGCACGUCCACAAAUUCAAUGUUAUUCACCGCGACGUGAAGCCUAGCAACUUUUUGUACAACCGACGCAAGCGCCAAUUCCUGCUGGUGGACUUCGGCCUGGCGCAACAGGUGCCCACAUCUCAUGUGGCGAACACUCUGGAAGGGGGCUGUGAACAGCCGCUCUCAUUGGCGAUGGGGUCGGAAGGCAAGCGUCCGCGCGACGGCGAAGACUCGGCGUCCAACAGAACGGCCGAUUCGAAUGGCAGCGUGGCGGCUGGUGACGCUUAUGGCGGCUCAAAGCGUCCGCGUUGCACCGGGCCACAUGGCGAUCAGGAAUUUACCGCAAAUGCGACGCCCAAUGCACGUGUCGCCAACAGCUGCAUAGUUGGCGGUUCGCCAUUCAAGAUGCCACUGAAGCAAUUGAACGAGAUCACUGCGACGGGCGGCAACAAGACUAGCGCUUUGGGCGCGGUUUCCAACCUAGCAAUGGGAAGCGGCACGAACGCGACCAACCACAACAACAACGCCGGCGAUAAUGGCAUUUGCGAGGCGCAGCUAGGACGGCAGGUAAAGUCCGCCAUACUGGGAAGCUCAGCAAGCACCCGCCUGCAGCAGAAAUUGCGUCAAAGCGGAGGCGGCAUGCGCAGUCCCAACAGUGCCGCACAGGAUGCUGCAGCCACCGGCUCGAAUGCCGGCGCAGCACAGUGCAUGGAGAGCUGCUUGGCCAACAAAUACAACACCAAUCGCAAUAUGAGCGUCACCAACGGCCCGAAGUGCGUGUGCUAUGGCAAUCCGCAGGUCUGCAACAUCUGCCUCGUCAAAAAAGAGAUGCACGCAUCACGCGCCGGCACGCCCGGCUAUCGGCCGCCUGAAGUGCUACUGAAGUAUGCCGAUCAGACCACUGCGGUUGACAUUUGGGCUGCGGGCGUCAUAUUCCUCUCCAUACUGUCAUCGGUGUACCCGUUUUUCAAGGCGCCGAACGACUUUGUGGCGCUUGCUGAGAUGGUCACCAUAUUCGGCGACAAGACCAUACGUAAGACUGCCUUCAUACUCGACCGCUUGGUGACGCUGAGCCAAAAGACGCGACCGCUGGACCUACGCAAGCUGUGUGUGCGCUUUCGAAAUCGCGUGAAAUUCAGCUCGCCAGAACUGCUGAAGAAGUAUCAGCGGCCGGAUGGUACCUGUGAAGUGUGUCGCAACUGUGAUCAAUUCUACUUCAACUGCUUGUGCACGGAAACCAACUACAACACCGAACCGCUGGACGGCGAUGACCCUUUCCCCGCAAGCGCCUACGAUUUGCUGUACAAACUGCUCGAAGUGAAUCCACAUCAACGCAUCACCGCUGAUGAGGCGCUCAAACAUCCCUUCUUCAGUGAAAUGGCCACCACCAGCAUCAGCCAGAGUUCAAGUGUUACUAGUAACAACAAUAAUAAUAAUAAUAAUAAUGUAAAUAGAACGGCUAUCUCCAUAGAGAGCAUACAGAAGAAGGGUGCACGUGAUAAAGUAGAACCUUGAAGUUUGCGCAAAUGACGUGGCAAACGUGGGCGGAAGGGGAGAGAGAAACCUAUAGAAACUGGAAGUUAGGCAGCCGUAAAAAUGUUCGUUAAUUGUCUGCGAGUUGCAAAUUGUUGAGAUUGUUUUUGGACCUCAGUCAUACGUAGUAAAUCAUGAAUACCGNUCAGCGCAGUAUAGGCGCGCAUGUGCCUGUGUCUGUGCAGUUACCGGACCCCAAA